CCUACGGGCGGCAGCAGUGGGGAAUAUUGGACAAUGGGGGCAACCCUGAUCCAGCCAUGCCGCGUGUGUGAAGAAGGCCCUCGGGUUGUAAAGCACUUUCAGUGAGGAAGAACGCCUGGUGGUUAAUACCCAUCAGGAAAGACAUCACUCACAGAAGAAGCACCGGCUAACUCCGUGCCAGCAGCCGCGGUAAUACGGAGGGUGCGAGCGUUAAUCGGAAUUGCUGGGCGUAAAGCGCGCGUAGGUGGCUUGAUAAGCCGGUUGUGAAAGCCCCGGGCUCAACCUGGGAACGGCAUCCGGAACUGUCAAGCUAGAGUGCAGGAGAGGAAGGUAGAAUUCCCGGUGUAGCGGUGAAAUGCGUAGAGAUCGGGAGGAAUACCAGUGGCGAAGGCGGCCUUCUGGACUGACACUGACACUGAGGUGCGAAAGCGUGGGUAGCAAACAGGAUUAGAUACCCGAGUAGUC
rnacentral:rRNA from 1 species